rnacentral:rRNA from 1 species
UACGUAGGUGGCAAGCGUUAUCCGGAUUUAUUGGGCGUAAAGGGAACGCAGGCGGUCUUUUAAGUCUGAUGUGAAAGCCUUCGGCUUAACCGAAGAAGUGCAUCGGAAACCGGGCAACUUGAGUGCAGAAGAGGACAGUGGAACUCCAUGUGUAGCGGUGGAAUGCGUAGAUAUAUGGAAGAACACCAGUGGCGAAAGCGGCUCUCUGGUCUGUAACUGACGCUGAGGUUCGAAAGCGUGGGUAGCAAACAGG